GAUGAACGCUGGCGGCGUGCCUAAUACAUGCCAGUCGAGCGAACAGACGAGGAGCUUGCUCCUCUGACGUUAGCGGCGGACGGGUGAGUAACACGUGGAUAACCUACCUAUAAGACUGGGAUAACUUCGGGAAACCGGAGCUAAUACCGGAUAAUAUAUUGAGCCGCAUGGUUCAAUAGUGAAAGACGGUUUUGCUGUCACUUAUAGAUGGAUCCGCGCCGCAUUAGCUAGUUGGUAAGGUAACGGCUUACCAAGGCGACGAUGCGUAGCCGACCUGAGAGGGUGAUCGGCCACACUGGAACUGAGACACGGUCCAGACUCCUACGGGAGGCAGUAGUAGGGAAUCUUCCGCAAUGGGCGAAAGCCUGACGGAGCAACGCCGCGUGAGUGAUGAAGGUCUUCGGAUCGUAAAACUCUGUUAUUAGGGAAGAACAAAUGUGUAAGUAACUAUGCACGUCUUGACGGUACCUAAUCAGAAAGCCACGGCUAACUACGUG
rnacentral:rRNA from 1 species